rnacentral:rRNA from 1 species
GACGAACGCUGGCGGCGUGCUUAACACAUGCAAGUCGAACGAGUGGCGAACGGGUGAGUAAUACGUGGGUAAACUGCCCUCUGUUUGGGAUAAGCCUUGGAAACGGGGUCUAAUACCGACUAAAGGGGGAUGGGCUCGGGGCCUAUCAGCUUGUUGGGGGGGUGAUGGCCUACCAAGGCGGUGCCGGGUAGCCGGCCUGAGAGGGUGACGGGACACAGUGGGACUGAGAUACGGCCCAGGCUCCUACGGGGGGGAGCAGUGGGGGAUAUGGCACAAUGGGCGAAAGCCUUAUGCAGCGACGCCGCGUGGGGGAUGGAGGCUUUCGGGUUGUAAACCUCGUUCGCUAGCGAACGGGUAGGUGGAGAAGAAGCGCCGGCUAACUACGUGCCAGCAGCCGCGGUAAUUC